rnacentral:rRNA from 1 species
GAUGAACGCUGGCGGCGUGCCUAAUACAUGCAAGUCGAGCGAACAGACGAGGAGCUUGCUCCUCUGACGUUAGCGGCGGACGGGUGAGUAACACGUGGAUAACCUACCUAUAAGACUGGGAUAACUUCGGGAAACCGGAGCUAAUACCGGAUAAUAUAUUGAACCGCAUGGUUCAAUAGUGAAAGACGGUUUUGCUGUCACUUAUAGAUGGAUCCGCGCCGCAUUAGCUAGUUGGUAAGGUAACGGCUUACCAAGGCAACGAUGCGUAGCCGACCUGAGAGAGUGAUAGGCGACACUGGAACUGAGACACGGUCCAGACUCCUACGGGAGGCAGCAGAAGGGAAUCUUCCGCAAAGGGCGAAAGCCUGACGGAGCAACGCCGCGUGAGUGAUGAAGGUCUUCGGAUCGUAAAACUCUGUUAUUAGGGAAGAACAAAUGUGUAAGUAACUAUGCACGUCUUGACGGUACCUAAUCAGAAAGCCACGGCUAACUACGUG